rnacentral:pre_miRNA from 1 species
CCUAUAGAAAUAAUGUUCCAUGUCAACCUCUUUCACGGUUGCCAUAGUUAAUUUUUUUCUUUGGGAU